AACUUCUCGAGCUCCUGUUAAUCUUACUCAUGAUUCUGCUUGGAUUUGCAUGAGAAGUAGAGCCAGUGCAUACUUAGAACAGGCCUGCCCUACAUACAUAAGGGUAUUGUAUAUGUCUGCUGUGUAAGAAGU
rnacentral:snoRNA from 1 species